UGCUCCACACGAACGCGCCUGGAUUAGUCGGAGGAAUUGACCGUUCGGGGGGUUUCAGCGUUGCUGGGGCUCACGCGUGAGACUCUGCCAUCUGCUGGCCGCCUUCAGACUCUCGGCCACGUUCCGCUCCUGAGGUGAUGCGAGCCGCCUCUUCCUCUUGCAUAAACAAGCACUCAGAUAAACAUACUGUACGUGCUCUCUCGUGCGCUCGCCACCUCAUCUGAUGGGGAACACGAGCGACGCAGACAACCCAACGUGAAGCACGGCUGCCGCACAGAACGCUUCCACAGCUGAUGAUGAGUUUCACCCAUUGUUUUCCUGCUAAUUAGCGUCAUUUACUGAGUGAGCCUGGUAGUUUGAGCCUCUCAUUGAGUGUGACUGUAAUGCAGUAAUCAGGUAAGGGAUGUUUGACGGUCCUGCUGUGAGAUGAGGCCCUAAACAGGAUGAGUGGGAAUCGCAUAUUAAGAGGCUCUUUAUUAGAGUGAAUUUGUCAGCGUUGCUGUUUGUGCGUCUGACAACAUCCUCCGGUUCCCUGGCGUCUUUGGAGCCUCAGCUCUGUCUCUCCCAUCCUCUCUCUCCUCCAUUCAGCUGCAUGUACGCUAUAGACAGAUGGACGACUACGCACCGUGGCAGGCCGCUCUGUUGAAGGCAGCCAAAGGGCAAAAUAGGC